UACGGAGGAUCCGAGCGUUAUCCGGAUUUAUUGGGUUUAAAGGGUGCGCAGGCGGGAGACUAAGUCGGUGGUGAAAUUUUGCAGCUCAACUGUAACAGUGCCAUUGAUACUGGUUUUCUUGAGUGUGGAUGAAGUAGGCGGAAUUUGUGGUGUAGCGGUGAAAUGCAUAGAUAUCACGAGGAACUCCGAUCGCGUAGGCAGCUUACUAAACCAUAACUGACGCUCAUGCACGAAGGCGUGGGGAUCAAACAGGAUUA
rnacentral:rRNA from 1 species